GGUCUAUAUUUAUACCAUGUCUCAAAGAGUUACAACCAGGUAUGAAUAGGAUUCUAAUUCCAAACUAAAUAGAAUCCGUACACAAAACACACUCUAAUAACUAUGGAAAACAUAAAUUUAUCUAUCCUAGGCGAUCGGCACACCAUCAUCAUCUUCGCGACGAUUCCUAUGCCUUCCUCCACUAUCAUCGGCAUAUCAUUCUCCAUCGGCAUCGGUGUUGACGGUCCUUAAGUAUCAAAUAUAAUCAACAGAUAAACAAAGAAAAGGAUCCAAAUGUAACUAACACCCAGACUUAGGGUUUUGUCUGACAGAAUUCCACGAGUUUUGGUGUUUGUCUAUUUCUGCAGGGGGUUAUCAGGAAAUAUGGAGGAAAGGCCCACACGUUGGGUUUACAUAGAGAUAUUAACGUGCACCGUAAUUAUCCAACAUCUAGAAGAGUCCAGAAGCCACGGGAACGAGCGGGAGACUGAACAGAGGCGCGCGCGGGGGCAAGCUGGGCCGCUUGCUGGACUGAGCGAGGGGAACCAGUGGGCUGGUUUCAAGGGGCUUCUCCCCUUUUCUUUUCUUUUUAUUUUCUGAUUUCUUUUUUUUUUCCAAGACAUUUUCCAAAAGAGUUUUUUUGAAGCAAAACAAUUAAAGUAAAACCAGAACAAACAAUGCAAAAAUAUCUAUGCUCCAGCAUGAAUGCAAAAUCACGUUUCUAAACUUGUGAUGAGUUUUAAUCUUCACAAAAUUAUUUGUUUGCUAGAUUCAAAUGCCCACAAAAAUACUUAAAUAAAUCAAAUUAAUUCCUAUUAAUUGAAAUCAAAAUUUUGGGUGUUACAAACUCUACCCCCCUUAAAAGAAUCUCGUCCUCGAGAUUGAGCAGAACUUACUCAAACAAAUAUGAAUAUGAUUUUCUCAGAUCAUCCUCUCUUUCCCAAGUUGCUUCCACUUCUGAAUAUCGAUUCCAUUGCACUUUGCACAUUUUAAUAACCCAACUUCUAGUGACUCUCUCAGCUGUUUCCAAAAUCUUAAUCGGAUAUUCCUCAUAUGUUAGAUCACUGCUGAUAUUUGGGAACGCAAUAAGGAAUUGAUCCGCAAGCGCACGGAUAUCGGUGAGCACUUCACCCGGGAAAUUAUCCAGAGUAUCGUAUUUAUUUUUUUACCACUAGGAGAAAGAGUGCAUCUGACUAACCGGUCUAUUACUACUAACCUUUAGGCACAAAGAAUGUCUUUCGAUGUGAG
rnacentral:lncRNA from 1 species